AUUGAACGCUGGCGGCAGGCUUAACACAUGCAAGUCGAGCGGGCGUAGCAAUACGUCAGCGGCAGACGGGUGAGUAACGCGUGGGAACGUACCUUUUGGUUCGGAACAACACAGGGAAACUUGUGCUAAUACCGGAUAAGCCCUUACGGGGAAAGAUUUAUCGCCGAAAGAUCGGCCCGCGUCUGAUUAGCUAGUAGGUGAGGUAAUGGCUCACCAAGGCGACGAUCAGUAGCUGGUCUGAGAGGAUGAUCAGCCACAUUGGGACUGAGACACGGCACAAACUCCUACGGGAGGCAGCAGUGGGGAGUAUUGGACAAUGGGCGCAAGCCUGAUCCAGCCAUGCCGCGUGAGUGAUGAAGGCCCUAGGGUUGUAAAGCUCUUUUGUGCGGGAAGAUAAUGACGGUACCGCAAGAAUAAGCCCCGGCUAACUUCGUGCCAGCCGCCGCCGUAA
rnacentral:rRNA from 1 species